GAACGCUGGCGGCGUGCCUAACACAUGCAAGUCGAACGGGACCAGGGGCAACUCUGGUUCAGUGGCGGACGGGUGCGUAACACGUGAGGAACAUGACCUUCGGCGGGGGAUAGCCGGCCCAACGGCCGGGUAAUACCGCGUACGACCAUCCGGGGACAUCCCUGGGUGGUGAAAGCAGCAAUGCGCCGAUGGAGUGCCUCGCGGCCUAUCAGCUAGUUGGUGAGGUAACGGCUCACCAAGGCGACGACGGGUAGCUGGUCUGAGAGGAUGGCCAGCCACAUUGGGACUGAGACACGGCCCAGACUCCUACGGGAGGCAGCAGUGGGGAAUUUUGGACAAUGGGCGAAAGCCUGAUCCAGCAAUGCCGCGUGAGUGAAGAAGGCCUUCGGGUUGUAAAGCUCUUUUGUCAGGGAAGAAACGGCAGUUUCUAAUACAGAUUGCUAAUGACGGUACCUGAAGAAUAAGCACCGGCUAACUACGUGCCAGCAGCCGCGGUAAUACGUAGGGUGCAAGCGUUAAUCGGAAUUACUGGGCGUAAAGCGUGCGCAGGCGGUUUUGUAAGUCUGUCGUGAAAUCCCCGGGCUCAACCUGGGAAUUGCGAUGGAGACUGCAAGGCUAGAAUCUGGCAGAGGGGGGUAGAAUUCCACGUGUAGCAGUGAAAUGCGUAGAGAUGUGGAGGAACACCGAUGGCGAAGGCAGCCCCCUGGGUCAAGAUUGACGCUCAUGCACGAAAGCGUGGGGA
rnacentral:rRNA from 1 species